rnacentral:misc_RNA from 1 species
GUAUAGGUUUAAUGACUGCGCGCGAGCGACAAUCGUUAAAAGACAUUCUGUAACUUUAUAGUGUAUAUGAAAACAUAGCCAAGAAGAAAGCAAGCAGGGGAAGGUUUUGCCCAGUCCCCCAGACCGCAUUGCUGCGAGAGGUUCACUUUUUCAAAGACUACAAGAGGUGCACAAGAGAAGAUAAAUAGUUAUGGAUCGAGCACAUGCUCAGUGAAGAGCCAGCAUCAGAACCAAACGUAUUCAAUAAUGAUCCUUCCGCAGGUUCACCUACGGAAA